rnacentral:lncRNA from 1 species
AGCUCUUCUGGUGUCUACAGCUGAUUAUUUCUACAGGAAGAACAUGGAAGUUUAUUUCUUAUGCUCCCGAAGACAAACACUCUUUAAAGAGGCUCAUCGACAAGGACAUGUAUUAUGAGCCAGACACCCCAGCAACCAGAGGUUUAUCCCUAAAUUGAAACAUGACACUCUUGAAAUGUUUAGCUCAAAAAAGAAAGGAGGAAAAAAACAAAAGGGAAGAAAAAGGGAAAAGUCACCAGAUCCACUAUGAGCAGUAAAAGCUGAUCGUCGAUCCUGUGGUGCAGACGCCGAGGAGACCCCUCUAAGGUGACACCUGUGGGAGUCUGGCCGUGACUGUCUGCUCCAUGUCUGCUUGUCGGAGAACAGUGAGGGCACUUGUUAGUCCUCUUACAAGGGGCAGUUACAAUAUGGCUUUUUCAAGACCAGCAGGAGAAUCUCUCUAGUGUGUGCUAGCAAGAUGGAUUCAUAUAUACAUGCUCACCUGUGACCACUCAGCUGGAGACAACAGACUGCCACCCUGCUGUGUUCACUGAGACAGAAGACCUACCUGCUGUUUCCAUCAAUGCUGUGCCGACAGAGCAGUCUCGCGACUAUUGUAAAAGGGACAUUUCAAUCCUAUGUGAAACAUUCUCUCUGGGGGUAUAUAACCAGUCUGUGCACCCCACUUCUUUGGUGUCCUUUCUUCCUUCGGGAAGAAAGGCCCCGGGUUAUAAUCCUCAGAUUUAAGCUCAGAAUAAACUCACCCAAAUUUUCAUUUAUAGAUUGGUUAUGGAUUAUUUUCGUCGACAGUGUGUAGUAGGCAACCAUCUAGGUUUGUGUAAGUGCACUCUAUGAUGCUUGCACAACAAUGAAAUCGCCUAAUGAUGCAUUUCUCAGAACAUAUCUGUUGUUAAGUGACACAUGACUCGAUAUAAUUAGGUCCUAAGUUUACAAACUCAUAAGAGGCACCUAUUGCUAUAAGAAUGUAUUACAGAUGCCAAGGAGAGAGGAAAUAAGGGUAAAAGCAAUUUUCUAGACAUCCACUAGAGUCCUUGUUGACAUGAGGCUCUGCGUUUCCUGAAAUGUUAAG